AACGCGAAGAACCUUACCUGGGCUCGAAGCGCAGUGGACUGGGGUAGAAAUAUCCCUUUCCCGCAAGGGACUGCUGCGGAGGUGCUGCAUGGCUGUCGUCAGCUCGUGUCGUGAGAUGUUGGGUUAAGUCCCGCAACGAGCGCAACCCUUAUCCCUAGUUGCUACCGGGUCAAGCCGAGCACUCUAGUGAAACUGCCUCGGAUAACGAGGAGGAAGGUGGGGAUGACGUCAAGUCCUCAUGGCCUUUAUGUCCAGGGCUACACACGUGCUACAAUGGUCGGUACAAAGCGUCGCGAACCCGCGAGGGGGAGCUAAUCGCAAAAAAGCGCGCUCAGUUCGGAUUGCAGUCUGCAACUCGACUGCAUGAAGCCGGAAUCGCUAGUAAUGGCGCAUCAGAACGGCGCCGUGAAUACGUUCCCGGGCCUUGUACACACCGACUGUAC
rnacentral:rRNA from 1 species